AUCUUAUUAGCUUAUUUAUUAGAGCACUUUACUGAAAAUAAAGAAGACUAAAAACAUUU
rnacentral:tRNA from 1 species